AGAGUUUGAUCCUGGCUCAGGAUUAACGUUGGUAGUAUGCCUAACACAUGCAAGUCGAGCGGAAAGUAGCAAUACUUUUAGCGGCGAACGGGUGAGUAAUACUUAUCUAACUUGCCAAUUAGUGGGGGAUAACUAUGGGAAACCAUGGCUAAUACCGCAUUUGUUAUUCGUAAUGAAAGGAAAUCGCAAGAUUUUCGCUA
rnacentral:rRNA from 1 species